rnacentral:rRNA from 1 species
UACGUAGGGACCGAGCGUUGUCCGGAAUCAUUGGGCGUAAAGCGCGCGUAGGCGGCCAGAUAAGUCCGGUGUGAAAGUCACAGGCUCAACCUGUGAAUGCCGCUGGAAACUGUCUGGCUCGAGUCCGGGAGGGGCGAGUGGAAUUCCUGGUGUAGCGGUGAAAUGCGCAGGAUAUCAGGAGGAACACCAAUGGCGAAGGCAGCUCGCUGGAACGGUACUGACGCGUGAGGCGCGAAAGCGUGGGGAGCGAACAGG